GGCGAACGCUGGCGGCGUGCUUAACACAUGCAAGUCGAACGAUGAAGCCCAGCUUGCUGGGUGGAAGAGUGGCGAACGGGUGAGUAACACGUGAGUAACCUGCCUAUCACUCUGGGAUAAGCGCUGGAAACGGCGUCUACUACUGGAUACGACCUAUCACAGCAUGGUGUGGGGGUGGAAAGAAUUGUUGGUGGUAGAUGGACUCGCGGCCGAGCAGCCUGUUGGUGAGGUAAUGGCUCACCAAGGCGACGACGGGUAGCCGGCCUGAGAGGGUGACCGGCCACACUGGGACUGAGACACGGCCCAGACUCCUACGGGAGGCAGCAGUGGGGAAUAUUGCACAAUGGGCGCAAGCCUGAUGCAGCAACGCCGCGUGAGGGACGACGGCCUUCGGGUUGUAAACCUCUUUUAGUAGGGAAGAAGCGAAAGUGACGGUACCUGCAGAAAAAGCACCGGCUAACUACGUGCCAGCCGCCGCAGUAA
rnacentral:rRNA from 1 species